GCUUAACACAUGCAAGUCGAGGGGCAGCAUGGUCUUAGCUUGCUAAGGCCGAUGGCGACCGGCGCACGGGUGAGUAACACGUAUCCAACCUGCCGUCUACUCUUGGACAGCCUUCUGAAAGGAAGAUUAAUACAAGAUGGCAUCAUGAGUCCGCAUGUUCACAUGAUUAAAGGUAUUCCGGUAGACGAUGGGGAUGCGUUCCAUUAGAUAGUAGGCGGGGUAACGGCCCACCUAGUCUUCGAUGGAUAGGGGUUCUGAGAGGAAGGUCCCCCACAUUGGAACUGAGACACGGUCCAAACUCCUACGGGAGGCAGCAGUGAGGAAUAUUGGUCAAUGGGCGAGAGCCUGAACCAGCCAAGUAGCGUGAAGGAUGACUGCCCUAUGGGUUGUAAACUUCUUUUAUAAAGGAAUAAAGUCGGGUAUGGAUACCCGUUUGCAUGUACUUUAUGAAUAAGGAUCGGCUAACUCCGUGCCAGCAGCCGCGGUAAUACGGAGGAUCCGAGCGUUAUCCGGAUUUAUUGGGUUUAAAGGGAGCGUAGAUGGAUGUUUAAGUCAGUUGUGAAAGUUUGCGGCUCAACCGUAAAAUUGCAGUUGAUACUGGAUAUCUUGAGUGCAGUUGAGGCAGGCGGAAUUCGUGGUGUAGCGGUGAAAUGCUUAGAUAUCACGAAGAACUCCGAUUGCGAAGGCAGCCUGCUAAGCUGCAACUGACAUUGAGGCUCGAAAGUGUGGGUAUCAAACAGGAUUAGAUACCCUGGUAGUCCACACGGUAAACGAUGAAUACUCGCUGUUUGCGAUAUACUGCAAGCGGCCAAGCGAAAGCGUUAAGUAUUCCACCUGGGGAGUACGCCGGCAACGGUGAAACUCAAAGGAAUUGACGGGGGCCCGCACAAGCGGAGGAACAUGUGGUUUAAUUCGAUGAUACGCGAGGAACCUUACCCGGGCUUAAAUUGCAGAUGAAUUACGGUGAAAGCCGUAAGCCGCAAGGCAUCUGUGAAGGUGCUGCAUGGUUGUCGUCAGCUCGUGCCGUGAGGUGUCGGCUUAAGUGCCAUAACGAGCGCAACCCUUGUUGUCAGUUACUAACAGGUUCCGCUGAGGACUCUGACAAGACUGCCAUCGUAAGAUGUGAGGAAGGUGGGGAUGACGUCAAAUCAGCACGGCCCUUACGUCCGGGGCUACACACGUGUUACAAUGGGGGGUACAGAGGGCCGCUACCACGCGAGUGGAUGCCAAUCCCAAAAACCUCUCUCAGUUCGGACUGGAGUCUGCAACCCGACUCCACGAAGCUGGAUUCGCUAGUAAUCGCGCAUCAGCCACGGCGCGGUGAAUACGUUCCCGGGCCUUGUACACACCGCCCGUCAAGCCAUGGGAGCCGGGGGUACCUGAAGUGCGUAACCGCGAGGAGCGCCCUAGGGUAAAACUGGUGACUGGGGC
rnacentral:rRNA from 1 species